rnacentral:rRNA from 1 species
ACCGGCAGCUCAAGUGGUGGCCAUUUUUAUUGGGCCUAAAGCGUUCGUAGCCGGUUUGAUAAGUCUCUGGUGAAAUCCCGCAGCCUAACUGUGGGACUUGCUGGAGAUACUAUUAGACUUGAGGUCGGGAGAGGUUAGGGGUACUCCGAGGGUCGGGGUGAAAUCCUCUAAUCCUGGGAGGACCACCUGUGGCGAAGGCGCCUCACCGGAACGAAUCUGACCGUGAGUAACGAAAGCUAGGGGCGCGAACCG